rnacentral:tRNA from 1 species
UGGCUCAGUUGGGUAGAGCAUGGUGUUUGCAACGCCAGGGUUGUGGGUUCGAUUCCCAC